rnacentral:rRNA from 1 species
UACGGAGGAUGCGAGCGUUAUCCGGAUUUAUUGGGUUUAAAGGGUGCGCAGGCGGCGUGUCAAGUCAGCGGUAAAAUGUCGGGGCUCAACCCCGGCCGGCCGUUGAAACUGGCGUGCUCGAGUUGGAGAGAAGUAUGCGGAAUUCGUGGUGUAGCGGUGAAAUGCAUAGAUAUCACGAAGAACCCCGAUUGCGAAGGCAGCAUACCGGCUCCACACUGACGCUGAGGCACGGAAGCGUGGGUAUCGAACGGG